rnacentral:lncRNA from 1 species
GGCCAGGUUGGUCUCGAACUCCUGACCUUGUGAUCCACCAGUUUCGGCCUCCCAAAGUUCUGGGAUUACAGGCAUGAGCCACCACACCCAGAUGAAUGAUGCCUUUUUUAAGGCAAAGCAUAAUCGUGAUGGUGGGUGAUGGAGUGACAUCAGGAGCGCCAGAAGGAGGAAGUCAGAAAGCCCUUGGGGACAGGAAUGUCCUUGUGUUGCAAACAUUUCUGGUCAGGGAAAGAUGAAGAAAACAGAAUGAGUUUCUGAUAACAGUGUUCCCAACACUUAAUGGUUAAAAGAAGCUUUGAAGAACACCAUAUUUCAGCCCUAUGGAACAGUGAACAAAAAGGAAAAAGCCAGUAGACUGAUGGUUCUGUAUAAGAUGUCCACUUCUGCAUGAACUGCUCCAGACAACAAAUGAAAUGCUCUUAUUAUUCCUGUCCCACUCUUGUCUCCCUACAGGCUAACCUCAUCUUUCACAAUCACUAUUUUCACAAUCGAGCUUUGAGAAGCUGAAAAGUCAGCAGGCUAUCUUGGCAAACCCACUAUAGUGUUCUAAAUUCUUUGUCAAAAUUAACCUUUUACAAUUUCUUGGCACUUGGAAGUAGGGGAAGAGUCCAACUGAAAGUGCAGUUUGUUCUCAUGGAGAAAAGUGAUGACACUUACCAAUUCCCCAGACCUGAGACUAAGAAAAUAACCUUGGCCAACAUGCAAAAAAAUAUAUAUAUUAAUGAGAGGAGAUACACUAACUAUAUUUUACUCAUCUCAGCAUAGCUUUCUCACAGGCAGUAUAGAGAAUGAUACAUAUAAAGAAGAGGAAAUGGCAGCCCUUACUCCAAAGGUUAAGAGGGAAUUAGGAACAAAAAGAAGGGUUUGGAAGAACUAAGAGAGUGCAAUCAGAGCAUCUGAAGGUCCAAGACUUGUCAGACACAGGUGCAUUCCAGCCCAACAACAGUGUGGGAUAUGUUGGUCUAAGGGCAUCUUACCUCCAAGAACUGCUUGAGGCGUAUGAAGGAACCCAUCUGUCCUGAGCUUGUGAUAGCUUCAAUUCUACAGGGAGAGAAAGACACAUGAAUCACACCUAUGAUAUACACCUAUCUUUUGGAAACGGUGUCUCACUCUGUCACCUAGGCUGGAGUGCAGCGCGGUGGUGCGAUCAUAGCUCACUGAGGCCUUGAACUCUUGGGCUCAAGCGAUCCUCCUGUCUCAGCUUCCCUAGUAGCUGGGACUAUAGAUGCAUGCCAUCAUGCCUGGCUAAUUUUUUUUUUUGUAGAGAUGGGGUCUCGCUAUAUUGCCCAGGCUGGUUUUGAACACCUGGGCUCAAGUGAUCCUCCUCCUGUGGCCUCCCAAAGAGCUGCAAUUAUAGGCAUAAUUAUAGGCAUAAGCCACUGUGCCCAGUCCCUAAUUUGUGUUUUUGUUUGGGCAAUGAUAUUUAAGACAGACUCUCAUUAAGGUUCAAAAGCAUUUAUUCAAAUAUCAACCAGAGGGACUGGAGUAGGAAAGAUGUCAUACUUAGUACAGGUGUUUUUAACUUGAAUCAAAACCAGCAGGUAAUAGCACCCUUGGGUAUCUGAGGCCUUGUUAUGAGUUACUUAAUCCCCUGCUGUCUGCUCAACAAGCCUGAUACCUGGGAAAGUAGUCCUCUUUGAUGAGUAUUAGCAUCUUCCAGAACUGAACCUGGUAUUGCUUCAUGAGGGCAUUCCCACACACCUAGAGGGAAAGACAGGCACUGUCAGAGCAGAGAAUGAAAAUUCACACUCACAGAACAGAUUCAUAAAGCACAAUCAGCCCUUCAUCUUUCACACCUAUCAAAAAUUUCAACCACAAUGCCACUGAACUUGCUAACAAGGGAAUAAAUGGAAACACCCAACUUUCUUCUAAAGCAUUUCUCUUUAUACGGCAAUACCUCCAUUUAACCAAUCAGGUCUUAAUGAACUACUCUUCUUUUCCUCUAAUGAAUGGAAGCCUUCCUAAAGGUAUGGUAUACCUCCCAAACUUAGUAAGGAGAGUAUACAGAAUACCACUUGUGUUCUCAAAUGAUACAGGAUCAUUGUUCAUGUAUGGUGACUUCAGGAGCUUUUUAUUUUUUAUUUUUGAAAUAGGGUCUCACUCUGUCGCCCAGGCUAGAGGACACUGGCAUGAUCACAGCUCACUGCAGCCUCAACCUCCCUGGGCUCAGGUGAUCCUCCAACCUCAGCCUCCUCAGUAACUGGGACCACAGGCACACACCACUAAUUUCUGUAUUUUUUUGGUAGAUAUAGGGUUUCACCAUAUUGCCCUGGCUGGUCUUGAACUCCAGAGCUCAAGUGAUCUGCCUGCCUUGGCCUCCCAAAGGCUGUCAGCCACUGCACCUGGCUGACGUCAGGAGCUAUUAAGGUAACUAGGAACUAUUGGCACUAUAGAUCAAAUGGUUCCAGAUUUGUUAUGGCAUGUACCCCAAGGCUUUCUUCUAUAAGAAGUGUCUUCUUGGCUGAGUGCAAUGGCUCACUCCUGUAAUCUCAACACUUUGGCAGGGUUAGGUGGGAGGAUCGCUUGAGCCCAAGAGUUUGAGGCUACAGUGAGCUAUGAUCACACUAAUGCACUCCAGCCUGGCUGACAGAGUGAGAUCCUUUUCAAGCGAUUCUCCUGCCUCAGCCUCCUUGGUAGCUGGGAUUACAGGUGUGCGCCAUCACACCCGGCUGAUUUUUUAUUUUUAGUAGAGACGGGGUUUUACCAUGUUGG